AUUGUACGCUGGCGGCAGGCCUAACACAUGCAAGUCGAGCGAGCGGCGGACGGGUGAGUAAUGUAUGGGGACUGCCCGAUAGAGGGGGAUAACUACUGGAAACGGUGGCUAAUACCGCAUACUAUCGGAUAACCCAUAUGGGAUUAGCUAGUUGGUGGGGUAAAGGCUCACCUAGGCGACGAUCGCUAGCUGGUCUGAGAGGAUGACCAGCCACACUGGGACGGAGACACGGCCCAGACUCCUUCGGAGGGAGGAGUGGGGAAUAAUGCACAAUGGGCGGAAGCCUGAUGCAGCCAUGCCGCGUGUAUGAAGAAGGCCUUAGGGGUGGAAAGGACUUUCAGCGGGGGAGCAUUACCCACAGAAGGAGCACCGGCUAACUCCGUGCCAGCCGCCGCGGUAAUAC
rnacentral:rRNA from 1 species